UCGGGGACUGCAGGCUCCCGUUUCCACGAAGACGCCGGUGCGUCCAAGCUCUGC
rnacentral:ncRNA from 1 species